rnacentral:rRNA from 1 species
UGCCAGCAGCCGCGGUAAUACAGAGGUGGCAAGCGUUGUUCGGUAUCACUGGGCUUAAAGGGCGCGUAGGCGGCGUGGUACGGUUCGGGUGAAAUCCCACGGCUUAACCGUGGAACUGCCCGGGCAACGGCCAUGCUAGACAGCAUCAGGGGAAGGUGGAACUCCGGGUGGAGCGGUGAAAUGCGUAGAUAUCCGGAGGAACGCCGGUGGCGAAAGCGACCUUCUGGGGUGCUUGUGACGCUGAGGCGCGAAAGCUAGGGGAGCGAACGGGAUUAGAUA